rnacentral:lncRNA from 1 species
UAGGUGCUAUGCCCAGUGGGUUACACAAAGUAUAUUACGUAUUUACCAGGAGCUAGGACCCUCACAUUGGAUAAAGAACAGGGGAGCUUGGGAAGGCCAGAGGUUAUACAGCCAGGCUCAGCAUCACAGAACGUCGCUAGAAGCCUGGGCUCCCGAUUCCCAGGCAAAUGGCCUCUGCUCAGCCCAGAGCAAGACCCAGAGAUAGUAACACCAGGCCAAGUACAUAUUGACUGUAGACAGAGUCAUCGACAAGAACCACAAAGAAGAGCCUGCUUCUCUUUGCUAAAUACACUAAUACACUUCUGCCUAAACUGUGUGUUUGUCUCUUGAAUGAAUUCUUCCCUUCAAGACAAGAGCUGAGGAGGAAGCCUCACCAGGCAGGUGACCUCAGAUCCUCGCUGUAAUGAGAAGUUGGCUGAGUUAGGAUGAUCACCGUCUCCGUAGCAGUGAGCCAGCUGUGGAGACUCAGUCCCUAGCUUGUGCCUCACUCAGGCACAAGGGAGAGUGACAAUCCAGACAACCAAUGGGAAGGGAGAACACACAGGGACUGCAAAAGGAGAAAACACAGCAUUCGUAUGUCAAGGUUCCUUC